rnacentral:rRNA from 1 species
GUGGGGAAUUGUUCGCAAUGGGCGCAAGCCUGACGACGCAACGCCGCGUGGAGGACGAAGAUUUUCGGAUCGUAAACUCCUUUCGAUCGGGAAGAACAGCUUCCGGGUGAAUAGCCUGGAAGUCUGACGGUACCGAGAGAAGAAGCCCCGGCUAACUCCGUGCCAGCAGCCGCGGUAAUACGGGGGGGGCAAGCGUUGUUCGGAAUUACUGGGCGUAAAGGGGUUGUAGGCGGCCAACUAAGUCCGACGUGAAAUCCCAAGGCUUAACCUUGGAACUGCGUCGGAUACUGGAUGGCUUGAAUUCGGGAGAGGGAUGCGGAAUUCCAGGUGUAGCGGUGAAAUGCGUAGAUAUCUGGAGGAACACCGGUGGCGAAGGCGGCAUCCUGGACCGACAUUGACGCUGAGAACCGAAAGCUAGGGGAGCAAACGGGAUUAGAUACCCUAGUAGUCC